rnacentral:rRNA from 1 species
GGCCUAACACAUGCAAGUCGAGCGGAUGAAGGGAGCUUGCUCCUGGAUUCAGCGGCGGACGGGUGAGUAAUGCCUAGGAAUCUGCCUGGUAGUGGGGGAUAACGUCCGGAAACGGGCGCUAAUACCGCAUACGUCCUGAGGGAGAAAGUGGGGGAUCUUCGGACCUCACGCUAUCAGAUGAGCCUAGGUCGGAUUAGCUAGUUGGUGGGGUAAAGGCCUACCAAGGCGACGAUCCGUAACUGGCCUGAGAGGAUGAUCAGUCACACUGGAACUGAGACACGGUCCAGACUCCUACGGGAGGCAGCAGUGGGGAAUAUUGGACAAUGGGCGAAAGCCUGAUCCAGCCAUGCCGCGUGUGUGAAGAAGGUCUUCGGAUUGUAAAGCACUUUAAGUUGGGAGGAAGGGCAGUAAGUUAAUACCUUGCUGUUUUGACGUUACCAACAGAAUAAGCACCGGCUAACUUCGUGCCAGCAGCCGCGGUAAUACGAAGGGUGCAAGCGUUAAUCGGAAUUACUGGGCGUAAAGCGCGCGUAGGUGGUUCAGCAAGUUGGAUGUGAAAUCCCCGGGCUCAACCUGGGAACUGCAUCCAAAACUACUGAGCUAGAGUACGGUAGAGGGUGGUGGAAUUUCCUGUGUAGCGGUGAAAUGCGUAGAUAUAGGAAGGAACACCAGUGGCGAAGGCGACCACCUGGACUGAUACUGACACUGAGGUGCGAAAGCGGGGGGAGCAAACAGGAUUAGAUACCCUGGUAGUCCACGCCGUAAACGAUGUCGACUAGCCGUUGGGAUCCUUGAGAUCUUAGUGGCGCAGCUAACGCGAUAAGUCGACCGCCUGGGGAGUACGGCCGCAAGGUUAAAACUCAAAUGAAUUGACGGGGGCCCGCACAAGCGGUGGAGCAUGUGGUUUAAUUCGAAGCAACGCGAAGAACCUUACCUGGCCUUGACAUGCUGAGAACUUUCCAGAGAUGGAUUGGUGCCUUCGGGAACUCAGACACAGGUGCUGCAUGGCUGUCGUCAGCUCGUGUCGUGAGAUGUUGGGUUAAGUCCCGUAACGAGCGCAACCCUUGUCCUUAGUUACCAGCACCUCGGGUGGGCACUCUAAGGAGACUGCCGGUGACAAACCGGAGGAAGGUGGGGAUGACGUCAAGUCAUCAUGGCCCUUACGGCCAGGGCUACACACGUGCUACAAUGGUCGGUACAAAGGGUUGCCAAGCCGCGAGGUGGAGCUAAUCCCAUAAAACCGAUCGUAGUCCGGAUCGCAGUCUGCAACUCGACUGCGUGAAGUCGGAAUCGCUAGUAAUCGUGAAUCAGAAUGUCACGGUGAAUACGUUCCCGGGCCUUGUACACACCGCCCGUCACACCAUGGGAGUGGGUUGCUCCAGAAGUAGCUAGUCUAACCGCAAGGGGGACGGUUACCACGGAGUGAUUCAUGACUGGGGUGAAGUCGGAACAAGGUAGCCGUAGGGGAACCUGCGGCUG